rnacentral:rRNA from 1 species
UACGGAGGGGCUAGCGUUGUUCGGAAUUACUGGGCGUAAAGCGCACGUAGGCGGCUUUGUAAGUUAGAGGUGAAAGCCCAGGGCUCAACCCUGGAAUUGCCUUUAAGACUGCAUCGCUUGAACAUCGGAGAGGUAAGUGGAAUUCCUGGUGUAGCGGUGAAAUGCGCAGAUAUCAGGAGGAACACCAAUUGCGAAGGCAGCUCGCUGGGACGUAACUGACGCUGAGACGCGAAAGCGUGGGGAGCGAACAGG